rnacentral:rRNA from 1 species
UACGUAGGGUGCAAGCGUUGUCCGGAAUUAUUGGGCGUAAAGAGCUUGUAGGCGGUUUGUCGCGUCUGGCUGUGAAAUUUCGGGGCUCAACCCCCGAACUUGCAGUGGGUACGGGCAGACUAGAGUGGUGGUAGGGGAGACUGGAAUUCCUGGUGUAGCGGUGAAAUGCGCAGAUAUCAGGAGGAACACCGAGUGGCGAAGGCAGGUCUCUGGGCCACUACUGACGCUGAGAGCGAGAAGCGUGGGGAGCGAACAGG